UACGUAGGGGCCUAGCGUUGUCCGGAAUUACUGGGCGUAAAGCGUGCGCAGGCGGUUCGUGAUGUCUGGGGCGAAAGCCCCGGGCUUAACCUGGGAAUUGCAUUGGAAACUAGCGGGCUGGAGUGUGGCAGAGGGGGGUGGAAUUCCACGUGUAGCAGUGAAAUGCGUAGAGAUGUGGAGGAACACCGAUGGCGAAGGCAGCCCCCUGGGCUAACGCUGACGCUCAUGCACGAAAGCGUGGGGAGCAAACAGG
rnacentral:rRNA from 1 species